CAAAGUUUUUACAGUAAUAUUAUUCUCGUUACAUUCAAUUCAAGCUCAAAAAAUAAGACAUUGACAAACGUCACCGUAUACGUUCACAGAUACAAUAACGAUGAAAAAUUUGGAAAGGUAUUCAAAUGCGGACACUACGUGCCAAGAUGGGCAGAAUAUAUUAGGGGGAUUGUCCGUAAAAUUAGAUUACAAAAAUUACGGUAUUCACUGCCAUCUAUUAAGGGAAAGCAUUAUAAAUAAGGAAAAGGGAGUAACGGGCCCCCAUGCUGAUUCGCGCAGAUUUAACAAAAAGAUGCCAAACGAUAAUUUUAUCCAAUUUGCACGAUGCCAUUUUAAAACGCUCAAUUUGCGCAUACUAUUAGAGGGCUCCUCACGCGAACCAUCAUUUACACUCCCAAGAAUGAAAAAAUGUUCUCAAGCCUUUGCUUCAAAAUUAAGACGAUAUUUUUCAGCUUUCUUUAAU